UACGUAGGUGACAAGCGUUGUCCGGAUUUACUGGGCGUAAAGGGUGUGUAGGCGGUUGUUUAAGUUUGGUGUGAAAUCUCCCGGCUCAACUGGGAGGGUGCGCCGAAUACUGAAUGACUUGGAGUGCGGGAGAGGAAAGUGGAAUUCCUGGUGUAGCGGUGAAAUGCGUAGAUAUCAGGAGGAACACCGGUGGUGUAGACGGCUUUCUGGACCGUAACUGACGCUGAGACACGAAAGCGUGGGUAGCAAACAGG
rnacentral:rRNA from 1 species